rnacentral:rRNA from 1 species
UACGAAGGGGGCUAGCGUUGCUCGGAAUCACUGGGCGUAAAGGGUGCGUAGGCGGGUUUUUAAGUCAGGGGUGAAAUCCCGGGGCUCAACCCCGGAACUGCCUUUGAUACUGGUAGUCUCGAGUCCGGAAGAGGUGAGUGGAAUUCCGAGUGUAGAGGUGAAAUUCGUAGAUAUUCGGAGGAACACCAGUGGCGAAGGCGGCUCACUGGUCCGGUACUGACGCUGAGGUGCGAAAGCGUGGGGAGCAAACAGG